GUGGGGAAUUUUGGACAAUGGGCGCAAGCCUGAUCCAGCAAUGCCGCGUGCAGGAAGAAGGCCUUCGGGUUGUAAACUGCUUUUGUACGGAACGAAACGGUCCGGGUUAAUACCCUGGGCUAAUGACGGUACCGUAAGAAUAAGCACCGGCUAACUACGUGCCAGCAGCCGCGGUAAUACGUAGGGUGCAAGCGUUAAUCGGAAUUACUGGGCGUAAAGCGUGCGCAGGCGGUUUUGUAAGACAGUGGUGAAAUCCCCGGGCUCAACCUGGGAACUGGCAUUGUGACUGCAAGGCUAGAGUGCGGCAGAGGGGGAUGGAAUUCCGCGUGUAGCAGUGAAAUGCGUAGAUAUGCGGAGGAACACCGAUGGCGAAGGCAAUCCCCUGGGCCUGCACUGACGCUCAUGCACGAAAGCGUGGGGAGCAAACAGGAUUAGAAACCCGUGUAGUCC
rnacentral:rRNA from 1 species